rnacentral:ncRNA from 1 species
CAGAUAGAGGUGCGAUAAAGAAAAGUAGCCCCGAACAGGCAGCCAAGCCGUCAAAUCGGGUGCGAAAGGCAAUAUCGCCGAAGGAUACGGUCAGGCAAGCCGUAAUUCUGGUUGCAUAUUUAAGAGAUAUGCAAUUGUCAUCAUACUUCCGCCGAAGUUAUACUCGGCGUUUGAUGGAGAGCUAUCG